GAUGGAGCAACGCCGCGUGAGUGAAGAAGGGUUUCGGCUCGUAAAGCUCUGUUGGUAGUGAAGAAAGAUAGAGGUAGUAACUGGCCUUUAUUUGACGGUAAUUACUUAGAAAGUCACGGCUAACUACGUGCCAGCAGCCGCGGUAAUACGUAGGUGGCAAGCGUUGUCCGGAUUUAUUGGGCGUAAAGCGAGUGCAGGCGGUUCAAUAAGUCUGAUGUGAAAGCCUUCGGCUCAACCGGAGAAUUGCAUCAGAAACUGUUGAACUUGAGUGCAGAAGAGGAGAGUGGAACUCCAUGUGUAGCGGUGGAAUGCGUAGAUAUAUGGAAGAACACCAGUGGCGAAGGCGGCUCUCUGGUCUGCAACUGACGCUGAGGCUCGAAAGCAUGGGUAGCGAACAGGAUUAGAUACCCUGGUAGUCCAUGCCGUAAACGAUGAGUGCUAAGUGUUGGGAGGUUUCCGCCUCUCAGUGCUGCAGCUAACGCAUUAAGCACUCCGCCUGGGGAGUACGACCGCAAGGUUGAAACUCAAAGGAAUUGACGGGGGCCCGCACAAGCGGUGGAGCAUGUGGUUUAAUUCGAAGCAACGCGAAGAACCUUACCAGGUCUUGACAUCCAGUGCA
rnacentral:rRNA from 1 species